ensembl:snoRNA
UAAUGCCUGUGAUGAAACAAGUUAUCCCUGUCUGAACAGCAGUGAGGACUUCUGGUAGUCUGAGGUUUGU